GACGAACGCUGGCGGCGUGCCUAAUACAUGCAAGUUGAGCGAUGAAGAUUGGUGCUUGCACCAAUUUGAAGAGCAGCGAACGGGUGAGUAACGCGUGGGGAAUCUGCCUUUGAGCGGGGGACAACAUUUGGAAACGAAUGCUAAUACCGCACAAUAACUUUAAACAUAAGUUUUAAGUUUGAAAGAUGCAAUUGCAUCACUCAAAGAUGAUCCCGCGUUGUAUUAGCUAGUUGGUGAGGUAAAGGCUCACCAAGGCGAUGAUACAUAGCCGACCUGAGAGGGUGAUCGGCCACAGUGGGACUGAGACACGGCCCAAACUCCUACGGGAGGCAGCAGUAGGGAAUCUUUGGCAAUGGACGAAAGUCUGACCGAGCAACGCCGCGUGAGUGAAGAAGGUUUUCGGAUCGUAAAACUCUGUUGGUAGAGAAGAACGUUGGUGAGAGUGGAACGCUCAUCAAGUGACGGUAACUACCCAGAAAGGGACGGCUAACUACGUG
rnacentral:rRNA from 1 species